rnacentral:rRNA from 1 species
CACGUAGGAGGCGAGCGUUGUCCGGAAUCAUUGGGCGUAAAGAGCGCGCAGGCGGCUUGUCAAGUCGGGUGUGAAAUCCCGGGGCUCAACCCCGUGACUGCAUUCGAUACUGUCAGGCUAGAGGUAGGUAGGGGAGAUCGGAAUUCCUGGUGUAGCGGUGAAAUGCGCAGAUAUCAGGAGGAACACCGAUGGCGAAGGCAGCUCGCUGGGACGGUACUGACGCUGGAGGCGCGAAAGCGUGGGGAGCGAACAGG